rnacentral:misc_RNA from 1 species
GCCUGUAUGUACACCGCACAACUAACCGUUGCUUGGUAGGUUCGAUCAGCUCUUAUCACCUUUCCAUCGACAUCUGUUGUCGUUGAAUGAAUAACCUCUUGUUGGCAGUUAGUUCUCGAUUCAGCAGUGACGAAAGGUGCUUCAGUGACCGAUGUUGGUAGGCCUAUGUCCAAGUGAUUGAGUUUAAGCUUUGGCCCAGCAUACUACUAUCAGGGGUGAAAAGGUGAUCAUUUGUUGUUCUUAGCAGCUAUGGCUAUUCAUUUGAGUAUGAAGGUGGUGACUAGUCAAUGAGCGAAGGGCGCUGUUACCACAGCUAGAAGUUCAAGCGGCUACCCUAGAGUAGCAGUUAAUUGAGGCUCGACAGACCUGGGCUAAGGAGAUGAUCUGGGUCAACCCCUUUUUCUCAAUCACAGUAAAAGAUCUUGUCACGAGCUGGAGUCGACAUCUCUGGAAUGAGAAGCUCCCUUUUCUCUUUUAAGGCUUUGACUUUUCCCUCUGCCUGGAACAAAU